rnacentral:rRNA from 1 species
UAGGGAAUCUUCGGCAAUGGGGGGAACCCUGACCGAGCAACGCCGCGUGAGUGAAGAAGGUUUUCGGAUCGUAAAGCUCUGUUGUUAAGGAAGAACGAGUGUGAGAAUGGAAAGUUCAUACUGUGACGGUACUUAACCAGAAAGGGACGGCUAACUACGUGCCAGCAGCCGCGGUAAUACGUAGGUCCCGAGUGUUGUCCGGAUUUAUUGGGCGUAAAGCGAGCGCAGGCGGUUAGAUAAGUCUGAAGUUAAAGGCAGUGGCUCAACCAUUGUAGGCUUUGGAAACUGUUUAACUUGAGUGCAGAAGGGGAGAGUGGAAUUCCAUGUGUAGCGGUGAAAUGCGUAGAUAUAUGGAGGAACACCGGUGGCGAAAGCGGCUCUCUGGUCUGUAACUGACGCUGAGGCUCGAAGGCGUGGGGAGCGAACAGG